rnacentral:snoRNA from 1 species
AAGACUAUACUUUCAGGGAUCAUUUCUAUAGUUUGUUAAUUAGCUUCUGGGCAGUUAACCCAAUUCAGCUGACAAUUAUGAAGAAACUAGAGGGAGGGCUUGUACCUCACUCUGCUGAGU